CAACUUCACAAGUGCACAGGUAGGGAGGAGGAUCCUACAGGGGCAUCGCUCAUGCCUUCUAAUCCCACAGGAGAAGACAGGUUCUUGGCAACAUGUGCCAGCAUCAA